AAUCGAGUAUGCUGCUAGCACGACCCGAACGUAACACGUAAAUGUGUCACAAGCCUAACAGUAACUCUGUCGGUAGUGAUAUUGUUACGGCUCUCGUCUUGUUCGUAGUAAUCAUAGUAAAUUAAACCGCCAUCUUUAAAUAUUAUUUUGGAGGGAAUUUCAAAUUACAAUAACUUCAUUUAAUUACUUUAUUUUAUUUAUUAUAAAAUCAAUAAUAUUCAAAACUAUGUGAUAAAGCGCUAUGUAGAAACAAAAUACAAAUGUUAAUAUUAGCUAAUAAGUUAAUAUUAGUUAAUAUUACACCCGAGAAAUUGGCGCUUGUAAUUUGAGGAUGACUCUGCACUGCACUCUUGUACGGAAUUUUGUGUGAGAAUAUUUUUCUGUUCGUUUUUGAGAAUAGGAACUGUUGAAGAUAUUUUUAGACUUCCUUUUAUCAAUUUUCCGCCCAAAACAUCGACUUUAACUAUGACCUAAUUUUUUUACAAAAAUUAUACAUCUAAUUAUCAAAAUCUAUCCCGAUUACAUUGAAAUUCUGGGAAUUCUCUAUGGAAAUGAUUAUCCUGGCCACAUUCAUAACACCGCUUGUGAGAAUUCAUUGCUCAGUGAAUGAUAAAUUACAAUUUGAAAGAGAAGCUGCAAAUGAUGUGGGUGGAAGAUUCAACAAAGAAAAUGGAGUUCGAACAGGGGGAGCGGUAAAAUUGACUUUACCAUGGGGUCGCUGGAACCUCCUUGCUCCGGUAUUCACCCUUUAAUCCUGGGAAAACCUGUAUCAAAAACCUAGGACGGAGAAGAAGUGCUUGUUGCUGAGGAAUGUAUCUUGCAACUAAUGUUGCAAUUGAUCUUGGAAUUUAUUUUGCAAUUCCACUUCUGACACCAAUUUGUUGCUUGAAAUUCUAGUGAACUUUAAUACAGACAAAAUCAAAACUCAAAUCGUAUUAAAUAUAUUUUACUUAACAUUAACAUUUGUAUUUUAUUUUCUACAUAGCGCUUUAUCACAUAGUUUUGAAAUUAUUGAUUUUAUAAUAAACAAAAUAAAGUAAUUACAUGAA